rnacentral:rRNA from 1 species
UACAGAGGUCCCAAGCGUUGUUCGAAUUCACUGGGCGUAAAGGGUGCGUAGGUGGCUUGGUAAGUUCGAUGUGAAAUCUCCGGGCUUAACCCGGAAAUGGCAUUGAAUACUAUUGAGCUGGAGGUUUGGAGGGGGGACUGGAAUUCUCGGUGUAGCAGUGAAAUGCGUAGAUAUCGAGAGGAACACCAGUGGCGAAGGCGAGUCCCUGGACAACACCUGACACUGAGGCACGAAAGCUAGGGGAGCAAACAGG